rnacentral:rRNA from 14 species
GUCUGGUGGGCAGUUUGACUGGGGCGGUCGCCUCCUAAAGAGUAACGGAGGCGCACAAAGGUAAACUCAAACUGGCAGAAAAUCAGUUGUAGAGCGUAAUGGUAAAAGUUUGCUUGACUGUGAGACAGACAUGUCAAACAGAAACUGCUAAUAAGCGGUUGGUCAUAGUGAUCCGGUGAUUUUGCGUGGAAAAGUCAUCGCUCAACGGAUAAAAGGUACGCCGGGGAUAACAGGCUGAUACCCCCCAAGAGUUCACAUCGACGGGGGUGUUUGGCACCUCGAUGUCGGC